CAUCUCUAAAUCCAUACACUUGCCUUUGGCUCAAGUCCCUCAAUAUCUUUGCAUAAUGAAAAGUUCAUGACUGAUCCAUCAUCCACUGCUGUUUGUGACAGGUUUCCAAACGUGGACCACCCUGAUCUUUUUGGUAUUUCUAAUGCUUUGUUUUUUAUUCACUCAAGUUCAACUUUGCCCUGUGCCUUUAAGCAAAUACCACCUUUGACCCUAAUAGACCCAUUUGUUGCCCACACAUCAAAAUUGGUGCCUUUGUUUCAUCUUAGCUAUUCUGUUGUCCAUAGCUUUCUUUUUGACCAGUAUAGGUAUUGCCACUUAGGGGCAUAGACUGACUUAUGUAUUAUCUUUUCUGGACAUCUUGCAAUGGAUGUAAUUUUACCUGUUGAGCCUGGGUUUGCCAAGUGGCUCGUUAAUCCCAAGUACUUUUACCGAGAAGCUUGCCAAAUGGAAUAUGUUUUGAUUAUACUAUAAUUGGCUUGGCAGGCUAUAAGUCUCCUUACUCCCUAUAUGCUGUUUGUUUCGAGUGAAGCUGUCUAAUUAACCUUUGGUGUCUCCAACUUUCAACUUUUAAAGAUUAUUUAACUUCCAGAUUUACUCAAAGUUCUAUUAUUGCUGUGGAUGAAGCUUCUCCUUGGUAUCAACUUCUCUGAUUUUUUUCUUUUUAAAGAACUUUCAUGUAGCACUCCUGAUGCUUUGCCAUCUUCCUAAUGCUUAAACAUUUGGUUUGUAAUUAUCUUUGACAUCUUGUAUCACACAGCGAACUUUGCAACUUCUUGACUCUGUUGCUUUUGCAGUCUAGUCACUUGCCAUUGUGGGCUUGUUGCCUACCUCCUGACCACUUCAUUUUGCAAUUUGGUUACAAGGUUGUCAAUUGGCACAAGACAGUACUUUCUGUACUUGAGUUAAAACAAUAAGACAUGAGUUAGUUGAAUUGUACAUUGAAUAUAUUCGUAUAGCACUGUGUGACCGUUGAGCACAUACUCUACCCUAAUUAUACUAUACUGACUAAACCUUUUCUUUCUGAAUAGCCUCAGCCUUGGGUACGUGCAGCUUAAUAUGCAUGGUAUUUAUUAUGUCAAAGCAUAGACCUUAAUCAUGAGAUUAAAUUUAAUCAUACCUCUAUAUAGACUCAUCCACAUCCUUAAAAGCUUACCAUGUAAAGACAACUUUUUCUCACUUCUUGUGAUUUUUUUUUGAGUUGAGUUUAAGUGCCUUUGGAUGUUUUUCUACAUUAAUGCUUCAGUAUAAAUAUGAAUUUUUCUGAUUCACAUUUAUGAAGAUGCUUCCUGUUUAAUAUUUCUUGGAAGCCUUCCACCUUGAAGGAUUGUCAAAAAAUGUACUUAUUUCAGGUUUUGUGGAAAUACCUGGAGUGCUUUAUUUGAAAGGGAUUUUUGAAAAGCCCCCGUGGAUAGUUGACUUUUUUCAAACAAGCUUCCUAGAAAUCACAUGACGAGUGAUAAAUACUUGUUCUGUAAUUUGUACUGUGGCACUUCCUGCAGAGAGUGGAUUGGAGAGGUUUUAUCUGGACUUUAUUUAGGGGAAUAAGAUGCAUGUGGAAGUGCUAUCCAGCUGAUCUCUCCUAAUUUUGAAAGAACUCUUUAGUUGAAUUCAGGAUUAAACCUACUUGCUAUUUUGAAAGUGAUUGCAGGAGCUUCUUAGUAUUGCAUUUCCUGAGCAAUCUGUGACUGCCAAGACUCCAGAGACAACAGCGCACGAUUAGUGACUUGACCAUUUGUGCUAGAACGUAAGAGCAGCUCUUGGAGUGGAGUAUAUUGUGCUAAAACCUUGAAAGCAUGUUUUCAUAGAGAUUUUUUCUCUCAAGUUUUCAUGCUUUGCAAUAUUUUGAGAGUAAUUUAGUGGAUUUAAAUCUGUAUUUCUAUAUUGCUGUCUAUAUAUUUUUACCACUUAGGGCAUCUCAAUGAAUGUUUGUUUUGAUAAUCAACCAGUACUUGUAUUUAAGAAACUUGGUUAGAAUCUUUUUUUAUUCAAAACAUGUGGAUGUGGUAUUUAAUUGGCCAUCUUGGUAACAGCAAACUAUUAUUUUCCUAUUUUCUAAUGUUGUACUUGGACCAGUAGCAUCAGAGCACUAGGGCAUUUCAUCAGUCUUGGUUCUAACAAUGUUUAGUCCCUUCCCAGCUGGCUUGAACAAUAGGUGCAUGUGCGUCCAUUACCCUCCAAUUUAAAAUGAAUCUUUUUUUCUGAUCAUUAUUUGUUAUAGUGACAGCUCUCUGGUCAAGGCAUUUGGAUGAUAUUUGCAAUGUUUUUAAAAUAUACCCCUUAGAAAUGGGUUAUUUUUAACUUGAGCUAUAUUUAGUCUAAACUAAACAAAUUAAAUUCCCUUUGAAAUUUGGAAACUUCCCUUGUGGGGUAACUUUGUCCUGAUUUAUUGUGACCAAUGAAUGUGGUAGGAAUUUAGUGAAGCUCUGAGCUCUGUGACAGACCGUAUCAUAUUUGGCUGCUCAGUUUGCACUUGGAAUUUUCUCCCUUGUGCAAACCUUUCAGCUGUCCCUGACAGAAAUAUGUGAGGGACAAGAUUGUGCUGCCAGAUAUAAACAGUGAAUGAAAUGACUGGAUGUAAGUCAUAACAGCCAGUAGGAGCAAGCCAUUAAGCUUAUUCUGACCUUUCCUGCUCUCUGUAGAGCAAUCAAGUCAGUCCCAAUCCUUGUGGCCCUGCAAAUUAAUUUCCCUCAAAUGCCAAGCCAAUUUCUAGCACCAUCGUGGGUAGUGAUUUCCCAAGUCAGUCGUUGUGUAAGUUCUGAGUUUUCUCUGAUCAACACCAUACCAUGCAGCCAGAACCUUAAACCUGUAUCCUUGUCCUUGUAUGAUCACCUAAUAUUGGCUCUUCUUUGUUAAGCAAAUCUGCUGUAAUCUUGAACUCCCCCAUUAAAUCUUCCUCCGGCCUCCUUUGUUCUGAGGAUAGCAGAUGGAAUUUCCUCAUUUCCAUACUCGUAUCCAUCUUAUAUGUGAGUCUCUUUAAAUUGUCAAGAGGAACUAACCCCCAACCCAUCUAGUCCCCUCAUCAUAAAUGUUUCAAUUACAUUAGCUAUAUUUUUUCAUAAGGUGAGAUUGAAUUAAUGACUCCAGAAAAUAUUUAUGGCCAAUUUUGAGAAAUUCCAGAUGAAUGACGAUAGUACGUCAGUGUGCACGCUUAAUUAGUGUGUGCGCUGUCUCCUCACCCACGAACCAAAACCUUCCCCAAGUGACAUCUCUUCAGUAUCUGUUUCCAGCAAGGAGUGAGUCUGUUGGAUGGUGCUAGAGAAGGAAGUCCUUUCACUUUAGAUAGGAGCAGAUUCGGAAGGACUGGAUGAAAUAUAAAAACAUUUUCAAAAUCUUAUGCACAAGCACACCAAACAUGGUAAAUGAAUUUACUGAGCAUAGUGGGGGGUUGGUAGGAAUGUGAUGGCCACAAUGGAAAUAUGCCUUAAAACAAAGGAUUGGAGCUUGAUAUUGGAAGGUGUUAAGGCCUCCCAAUGCAAGGGACCUUAAGCACAGGAAGCAAGGGCACCAUAGAGCUCUUGUGUCCCUUGCUGUCAAACUCCCUCCUCUACUUGCUGAGUUCUCACCCAGGGAUCAGCGAGUGUUUUGUGGCGUAGUAGUAGUAGUGUCCCUGCCUAAUGUCUACUUUCUAACUUUGAUAGGGAAAUCCUAUUGGCAUACAGAGUAAAGUUUCAGAAUUUGCUGAUUCGACCAAAUGUUGACAGAGGUGAGGGAACAGGAGGAUGCCAAUGGACUGCAACAGUGUGUCCUUUGCUUUCUCUUCAACAGUUGGUGGUCUUAAAUCAAAAGUGGAAAUAUCCACAACUGCAGUGAAUUUAAAAACAGCUGAACAAAAAGCAGAAUUAGAUAUCUGUGCACUUUCAGCCCAGAUGUCUGGGCUAGGUAUCCAAACACAGAUGUUACACACUUUUCUUCUCUGAAUGUGGGCAGUGUGUAUAAAACUAUCUAACCUCUGUGAAAGAGAGGCUUAAAAUGCUUUACAUCCAUGAAAUGGUUCUAAAGACGAAUCGCUGUUGUAAAGGUGAGAGCAGCCUACCUGCUCACAGCAAACAAUGCAUUAAUGACCAGAUUGCCUGUUUUGUUUUUAGUGAUGUUGGUUGAUUGCUCAUAUUGUCUAUCAGCACCGUGGAUAGCUCCCAUUUGAAUAACGCAGCAGAUCAAAGUGCACAUCUUUGAUUGCCUGUGGAUUAGUUCGCAAUAUUCCAGCAUUCCACAAUGGAUCAUCCUCCAUUAAUAACGAUCACCUCAGGCCUAUCCUCCACCCCCGGCUCCAGAUCCUUUGUAUCCGUCCAAGAGGGCAAGACAGGGCAUUGAUUGACAUUGCAUCUAAAAGCCACUCCAACAGUGCAGCCCUGUUUCAUUGCUAGCUUGUGUGCUGCAGUCCUGGAGUGGGAUUUGAACCUGCAAUUUUCUGACUUGGCAAGCGUAGUCCCUUCAGAGCCAGGAUUGACACAUUUCUUUCAUUUAGACAACUUGUGUAAUUUGUCUCGGUUACGCAGCUUGGCGACUUUUGUUUUUGUUUCUCUUGCUAAACUGAUGAAAACAAAACUUUUAAGUCCAAAGGAGAAUGUGUGACUGGGUUAAGAAUGAAAGAUACAGGUGAUGUAGUAUGAGACUUCUAGGUGGUGUUGAAGUGCAUUGUUGGUAAACAGGGCAAUAAUGACUGGAGUCCCACAUGGGUUGGUCUUCGGACCCUUCACUUCUACCUGCAGAAGUGACUGGUUGUUGCAGUCAUGGCCAUUUUUGCCUUGCAGUGGGAAUCCAGAAUGAUUUGAAGUUUUAGAGAUAAUAGGAACUGCAGAUGCUGGAGAAUCCAAGAUAACAAGUUGUAGAGCUGGAUGAACACAGCAGGCCAAACAGGAUCUUAGAAGCCAGAAAGCUGACUGUUUGGGUCUAGACCCUGAAGUUUUAAUGUGUUGAUUGGCAGAGAAGUGAUGAAAUUGCAUGCAGAGUUGCAUCCUGGACAAAUGUAUUGAGCUGUUGACCUAACUCUCCCAUCGGGAAGAAACAGCCUGGGGCUUUUGAGAGGAGUCUAGAAACUGGCUGGCAGGCUUGUCACUUCUAGUGCUGAGAUAGUGGAAGCAGUGUGUUGGAAUUGGAAAGUGUCAGUGGAAUAGCCAGCCUUGGAGGCAAUGCAAAGACUUUUAUUGCAUCAUGAGCAAUUUUGUAUAUGAUUGCACUUAUCCUGAGAGAGAAUGGCCCCGUGUUAAAUAGUGAAGGAGCUUAAUGAAGGUCUACCAGCAAAUGUGAUUUAAAGUAUUAAAUGUUAUUGCAAAAGUUGAACCAGACUCUUAAGGCCAGCCUUGGUGUGUAUUUGUGACCAUAAUUGCUAAACCUCUGCUGUUUUGGAAUUACUUGUUAGAUGGGGUACUGGAACUGGGGAAAUGCAGGCUGUAGUUGAAUGCUAGGCUGGGUAAUGUGAAGUAUUAGCAUCCAACAGGUUAUAUGUUUUUUGCAUCCCAGCUUUUCCAUGUAUGAUAGAACUGUAUCCUGAAUUGGAAAAGCUCCCCUUUUUCUGCCUAAGGAGGGACAAACUCCAGACAAAGCUCAUCUCUACCCUUUUGAGAUAGAUGCUUCCUGCCUCUCCACAAAUCAGGAGUCAAGAGAAAUGUGACGGGGAUGCCAAAAACUGAGAUACACCAGUUGCUUACCUGAUGUUAGUGGACUGAUCAGUGAGUGUGGAAAAUUCCUAGACUUCAGCAAUUUUUUUUUAAAAAGUGAUGUUCUUUGGAACAUGCUUAGAAACAUGAACAAGACAAUGAGAAAGGGAAGGGAACUUUUAAAGCCUCAUCAAACUGCAACAACUCUCUUCUGCAGAAACAAAAGUUGACACUACCCAGCUAAGGAAUGAAAGAUUUGGACAGGUGACCCAUGGUGUAGUUCAAUUGCCCAGCAGUGAAGGUGAGGAGCUUUUGAGGAAGCAGUUUGAGCUUGGGGCCUGAAUGGCUUAAGCAUGGCCAUCAGUGAUGGGAUGGGGAAUGCAGGGUGUUUUGAGGGCUGUGGGGAGCUGGAGGGGAUCACAAGAUGGUAAGGAGCAAGGCUGUCAAGGGGCUUGAGCAUGGGAGUGUAGGCAUAGAGAUCUACCACACAGAAAAAGACUUUUUGACCCAUAAUGCCAAUGAUGGCUAAAUACAACCACCUAACUAUUAUAAUCCCUACCCAUAGUUUUUAUUAUCUCAAUGUUCUUUUAGCUUUUCUUCUACUUUCCACACUUUCAAGCUGAACUUCAUCUAAAACUCUGCUUCUUAUAUCCUCAAAACGGUCAGGAGGCACAGGCAAUAUGAGAGCCGAGAUACAGGCAGCCAUGUUUUUUUUUGAUGAGGUUAAGUUUACAGAAAGUGGAAGCUGUACCGGGAGGUUGACCAGAAGAGGGUUUGAACAGUUGAGUUUGGAAAAUAACAAACACAUGGAUGAGGUUUACAAUGUCAGGUGGGCCAUUUCUGCUUCUGCAUCUCAUGAGUGAGAUUGAGUUUCAGACCUGGUAAAUGAGGUACCCAAACUUGCAUCUUGUUUUUUUGCUUUACUUCCAGUCCAUACUGCUGCUUCUGGGACGAGGGGUACCAGCAGAAUCUCCACGAACCUUGGGGCACCUCAAGUUCACGGUAGAAGUUGGCAGAUCAUGGGUAGUUAACUUUUGGUUUUAUGGUUGUAUCACUAGGAAGAUAGAAAAAAUGUGUAUGUUAUGAACUCCUGAAUACAGCCUUGUUUCUCCCCACCCCCACCAACCCCAUCCCACUAGUGUUGGGAAGCAGGGAAUGUUCCUGUUUCAUUCUAGGGACUUCACUGCCCUUUUCUGAAGGGAGUGCCUCUUGACACCAAAUCCUGAUCCUGUUCAUGGUUGCUUUUUCAGUGCUGAAACGACUGUGUGUUUAAUUCUUGAAUGUUACUCCCUCCAGACCCUACCACUGGAGAUUCUGCAUGACAACCUGACCAAACAUCUUCCAGUUAAACCACGGUACAAAGUAACUCGAUCUCGUGGCAGUCCAGUGAGACAGCAGAGGUGAAAAUCUGCUCAACGCAUUGUGGUUCUGAUGCUGUUUUGAACUAAAAGAGGUGCAGCCACUGAGGCUACUGUGUAGCUUUCCUUACAGGAGCCUGUUACCUGGUAGAGUUACAACUGCUGGAUACAGACUUAAAUGCAGUGGCUGGUUGACCUCUGGUAAGCACCUCUUCCGAUAACUGUAGAUUAACUGAGUGAUAAUCCCUUUGAACUAUUUAUACAUACAAUAAAGACCUUAACACUGUUGUUCAAUAUGCAUAAACUUGAUGCCCUGAAUUUGGCGGUCUGUCCAUGUGGAGGAAAUUCAACAGGCAUUAUCUCAUCUUUAAAGUCCAAUCGCUAUGCAAAAUCCAGAAGCAAUAUUAAACUUGAAGCUAAUGACACUGAGCUGUUCAUUCUCAUCAGUCACAUUUCACUUGAUUUAACUUGCAUUAGGAAACAGUAAUUUUUUUGGCAAAAAAUUCAGUUGUUAUUUUGUCCACUAUUAUUGGACUGAAUUUUAAGAUUUUCAUCCCACGACUCCACUUAUUUUAAAAAGAAAAGUCCUCAUCCCUGUGUUAAAUGGGAGACCACAAAUUGUUAGACUAUGUCCCCCUGGUUCUAGAUUUCCCCCAUGAUGGGAAACCACCUCCCAGCAACCAACCAAUCAACCAUAAGAAAUAGGGACAGGAGUAGGCCAUUCGGCCCCUUGUGCCUGCUCCACCGUUCAAAAGGAUCAUGGCUGAUCUGACAAUGCUCACGUCCACUCUACUGCCCUUUCACCGUGACCCUUGAUUUCCCUGACUGAUCAAGAAUCUAUCUCUCUCGGCCUUAAAUAUACUCAUGGACUCUGCCCCCAAAGCUGUCUGGAAUUCCAAAAGUUCACAGCCCUCUGAGAGAAGAAAUGCCUCCUCAUGUCAGUCUUAAAUUAGUGUCCCUUUAUUGAGACACUACCCUCUGGCCCUAGACUGUCCCUGGAGGGGAAGCAUUCUUUCAGCCUUUUCCCUGUCAAGCCUAGAAUCCUACAUGUUUUGAUGAGAUUACUUCUAAACUCUAGUGGAUAGAGUUCCAACCUGUUUAGAAUCUCUCCAUACCAGGGAUCAUCCUAGUGAACCUUCUCUGAACCCAAUGAAACAAUGUUUCCUUUUAAAUAUCUCCCCUCAUUCUUCAAAUCUCAGGUGAGUAAUGGUCCUAACUGCUUUCAUAGAAAUCCCUUCAUUCCAAAUAUCAGGAUGUGAACUUCCUCUGAAAUUCUGUUAUAUCUCCUUGCGUAAGGAGAGCAAAACCCUAUGCAGUACUUGGUCUGUGUCUGGGUUAGUAUUGAAAAUGAGCAAGGGGAAUGUUUUGGUUAUGUUUUGACACUUCUCCCAAAGCAAUGUGUCUGUGAAAUUAGAAAUCAUCGUGUGCGCUUGGAUCUGCUUAUUGCUUGCAACUUUGGGUGAGUGUUAGCUCAAGUACGUCUAUGACUGAAAUCAGUUUCUUGCUGGAGAAUUCAUGGGGUUUCUGUCAUGUUCUCCCUACCUGGAAAGGCUAGUGAGCACUACAAAGGCUAAAAUGGUGUGACCUUCGACCCAGGCAGCAAGCUGAAUUCCACUUGGAGUGGGAGGAUUGCUGUUUUUACUGCCCCUUCACUCCAAGUAGUUGCAGUGCAUUGUUCUGCUGGCUUUCUCCAGUCUCCCCCUGUGCACUACAGGUGAGGCAUCAAUCACAAUAAAGGAAAAUGGUGGACUUAACAGCAAUACCUGAGACAGAGGAACCUGUGUUGGUUACUGGGCAAUUCUUUCUCCAUCUCCUGACCACCCUUCCAAAACAGCACUUUCCCAUACAUGCUCCAUACAAUUGCAAAACAAGACAUCCCAGGACAAGGUGCAUUUUGCUGCAGAUCACCUAAGCAAGAGAGACCAAGGGAGCCUAACUCUUGUAGAUUCUCACCACUUACAGGUCUUAGUCUAGAAAUCUCAUAGUUGUGGUCAGUUCUUAUCAUUGUGUAGUUUACUUCAUCACAGUCCUUGUAUCCUGAAUCCUAUGUCCUAUAUGAUGACUAGGAAUUGGAAUGUAACCACUGUCUCAAUAUGAAUUUCUGUACAGAUAGAAUUGUCAAUAAAGACUUCAUGCACAAA